AUGGCCGACAGAGGUCAAACUGUAGUAUCUGUUCUUAUCAUCGUAAUAAUCUGAUACAGGGUGUAUUUGGACCCAAUAUAUUAAACUUAUUUUGGCAAGUUCACGGAAUGCAUGAAGCCGGUUUCACCUUCGCGCACAGGUCAGCCCGGUAUUGCACAAUCUUCGAGAUUUUUGAUGUACCUAGA